rnacentral:snoRNA from 1 species
AUCUCCUACUUCUGCCCCACGUUCGUAUUGUCUCCAUGGAAUAAUGGGUUCUGUUUAAGGAGAAGAUAAAGCUGGCAGAGAUGACUGUUCUUUAAACUGAUACAAUUAUAACGGUUUUUCUCUGUUGGGCUAUCGUGUAUAUUGUCUAUGAUUUGGAUUAGUUCACGUGUAAUCCAUAUUAAUAGGUGUAUGCAUACAUUU